CUUACAGAUAACUAAAUCUAAUAAACAUUGCUUCUUAUUACAGGAUCCAAACAGUCAAGAAGAAGCACAUAACAACGAGUUAAAUUUAAACACAGAAGCCGAAACUUUGCUAGAUCGCACUGUCUCAAAGAAACAAAAGGGGUUUUCAAUUAGCAGUUGCUUCAAAAGUUGUAUAUUUUGUGGCGUUGAAGUACCUGACACGGACCAGGAAAAGUCAAUCAUUGUCAGCGACAACUACAGACAGAGAAGAGAAUCAGAACGCCAUUUACUGAGUUCCUGUAAUUCGACCGCUUCAACAGAUGUAUCAGGACGUGUUGAUAGCAUUCAAUUAUCAGAAUCUCAGCACACCGACAGAGGAUUACGAAUUGGAUACGAUACUGACAAUAGAAGCGACGAAUUAGAGGAGAUAUUUGUGUGAAGAUCGAGAUAAUGAGGUUAUAGAAAACCGGGAGUACAUCAAUACCUACAAUAUAGAUCUGCUUGCAUCUGUAUGUGAUCUAUAUGUUAUGAAGAAUGUUCAGGACGAGCGAAAAUCUCCAUCUGUGACUGAUCCAGGAUGUCUUAUUAUAUUAUUUUUGUACCAUGUCAAACAUAUAUUUUUUUCUUUUGUUCAGGAUUAUUUUGUCUUGGUAUUUUUUUUCCAAUCGGCAAAUACUGGACAAAAUACAUCAGCCAUCAAAUAAUUGAAAAAUUGAUUCAAAUGCAUUUCAACUCUUUGUCAUUAAAGAAGUAAUUAAAGGCGUCAAAUUUACCAAAAAUGCAUUAAGAUAUAUUUUUUUUAUUUUGUGCUUAAUACCGAAAUCUCGUUUUCAAAUACUGGAUUGAUGCUGUUGCUGCAGUUUUAUUUAACCGCUCCAGCUAAGUUAUUCAUUGUGCAACAGGACGCAGCUUUCCAUAAAAUCAUCAUGGUUAACACAUGUUCUGAGUUAGUAAACAAAGCCAUUGAAAUGUAAUCACCGAUUUCAGUAGAGGCUAAUAUGGUGCCAAAGGGAAAGUGACAGUAAUGGUUCUGAUUUAAUAAUAUUCAGUUUGUCAUAAGCCUAUUUACAUCCUAAUAAACUGAAAUAUCAAUUGACAAAAUUGAACCACAGUUUCAUAGACCAAACAUUUGCAUUUGAUUCCAACUAAAUAUGUAGUUGCGUUACGUUCAGCACAAUGCUGUCACUUCUAUUGACAACGUCGUAUACAAGGAUUGAUGAGUCAUAUAAUUAUACAGCUUAUUAUGGUCACAGUGUCACAGUUUCGAAUUUUGUAUUUCAGAAUGCCUUUAACACAAUGAACACGGAAAUAAAAUUACCUGGCUGAUGUAA